rnacentral:rRNA from 1 species
UGGGGGAUAUUGCACAAUGGGCGCAAGCCUGAUGCAGCGACGCCGCGUGGGGGAUGAAGGCCUUCGGGUUGUAAACUUCUUUUGCUCUGAACAAGGCGCACUUUGGGGUGUGUUGAGUGUCGGGGUUGAUUAGCGCCGGCUAACUACGUGCCAGCAGCCGCGGUAAUACGUAGGGCGCGAGCGUUGUCCGGAAUUAUUGGGCGUAAAGGGCUUGUAGGUGGCUGGUUGCGUCUGUCGUGAAAGCUCAUGGCUUAACUGUGGGUUUGCGGUGGGUACGGGCUGGCUUGAGUGCAGUAGGGGAGGGUGGAAUUCCUGGUGUAGCGGUGGAAUGCGCAGAUAUCUGGAGGAAUACCGGUGGCGAAGGCGGGUCUCUGGGCUGUUACUGACACUGAGGAGCGAAAGCAUGGGGAGCGAACAGG